rnacentral:tRNA from 1 species
GGGGAUGUGGCUCAGUUGGUAGGGUGCUUGCCUGGCAUGCAUGAAGCACUAGGUUUAUCCCUG